rnacentral:rRNA from 1 species
GGGGAAUUUUGGACAAUGGGCGCAAGCCUGAUCCAGCAAUGCCGCGUGCAGGAUGAAGGCCUUCGGGUUGUAAACUGCUUUUGUACGGAACGAAAAAGCUCUCUCUAAUACAGGGGGUGAAUGACGGUACCGUAAGAAUAAGCACCGGCUAACUUCGUGCCAGCAGCCGCGGUAAUACGAAGGGUGCAAGCGUUACUCGGAAUUACUGGGCGUAAAGCGUGCGUAGGUGGUUGGUUAAGUCUGAUGUGAAAGCCCUGGGCUCAACCUGGGAAUGGCAUUGGAAACUGGGCAGCUAGAGUUCGGUAGAGGGUGGUGGAAUUCCCGGUGUAGCAGUGAAAUGCGUAGAGAUCGGGAGGAACAUCUGUGGCGAAGGCGACUGCCUGGACCAGCACUGACACUGAGGCACGAAAGCGUGGGGAGCAA